AACGCGAAGAACCUUACCCAGUCUUGACAUGCAGAGGACGAUAUCAGAGAUGGUAUUUCCCUUCGGGGUCUCUGCACAGGUGCUGCAUGGCUGUCGUCAGCUCGUGCCGUGAGGUGUUGGGUUAAGUCCCGCAACGAGCGCAACCCUUAUCAUUAGUUGCCAACACGUAAUGGUGGGAACUCUAAUGAGACUGCCUGGGUUAACCAGGAGGAAGGUGAGGAUGACGUCAAGUCCGCAUGGCCCUUAUGACUGGGGCUACACACGUGCUACAAUGGUCGGUACAGAGGGCAGCGAAGCCGCGAGGUGAAGCAAAUCCCAUAAAGCCGAUCUCAGUUCAGACUGUAGUCUGCAACUCGACUACAUGAAGACGGAAUUGCUAGUAAUGGCGUGUCAGCAACAACGCCGUGAAUACGUUCCCGGGCCUUGUACACACCGACUGUAC
rnacentral:rRNA from 1 species